rnacentral:rRNA from 1 species
ACAUUCCACGUUUUCCGCGCCGUAGCUAACGCAUUAAGUGCCCCGCCUGGGGAGUACGGCCGCAAGGCUAAAACUCAAAGGAAUUGACGGGGGCCCGCACAAGCGGCGGAGCAUGCGGAUUAAUUCGAUGCAACGCGAAGAACCUUACCAAGGCUUGACAUGAACCGGAAAGACCUGGAAACAGGUGCCCCGCUUGCGGUCGGUUUACAGGUGGUGCAUGGUUGUCGUCAGCUCGUGUCGUGAGAUGUUGGGUUAAGUCCCGCAACGAGCGCAACCCUCGUUCUAUGUUGCCAGCGGUUCGGCCGGGGACUCAUAGGAGACUGCCGGGGUC